rnacentral:lncRNA from 1 species
UUUAAUUUGCAGACUCAUAAUGAGUCUGAGAGUUUAGGGUUCCACAGUGGAGCCAUAACGUCAACAAAAAACCCACAUCGUCAAAGGAAACCCCAAAAUCUUAGGGAUUCAAAAUUGAACCAGACAUGGAAGCGGGAAAGCAAGCCAUUCGUUUCAGGGUUCCAACGAAACAUAUAUGAUAGCUUGUUUGAAAAACAUAGGAAAAACUUAUGAAGAUUAUAUUUGAGAAAACUUGGCAACUAACAAGUUCAGAAGAAUGAGAUAAUACAAAUGUGAAAACAAGUAGAUGAAGCAUGUAGGAACAUGAACAGAGUCCAGUAAACGAAAUCAAAUAAUCUUGUCGGUAAACACACAUAGUAAAAGAGUAAAUAAAAUUAAGGAAGGAUUAACAGGAAUAAUAUUCAUUUAAGGAAGGAUUAACAGG